AUGCAUGAUGAUGGCAAGCCUGGCCUCAAACCCGUCUCGACUUGGACUGAACAAUACCGUGGUCACGCACCGGCGUCCGGACACACACACACACACUGCUCGGCAUGGGGAGCGCGGUGGAGACGCUGUGCGGGCAGGCCUACGGCGCCAACAAGUUGGAUAUGCUGGGCAUCUACAUGCAACCUUCAACCGUGCUGCUCAUGGCCACCGGCGUGCCACUCACCUUCCUCUACCUGUUCUCUCGCCCGAUCCCAUCCUCCUCGGCGAGUCCUCCGAAAUCGCUGGCGCCGCGGCCAUCUACAUGUACGGCCUCAUCCUGCACGCCGCCAACUUCCUGAUCCAGAAAUUCUUGCAGGCCAGAGCAUGAUAGCGCCCAGCGCCUACAUCUGGGCAGGCCACGCUCGUUGUCCACCUUGUCCUCAGCUACCUCGUCGUCUACAAGCUGGGGCUGGGGCUUCUGGGCGCUUUGCUCCUGCUCAGCAUCAGCUGGUGGAUCAUCAUCAUCGCGCAAUUCGUCUACAUCGUCACGUGGACUGGAUUCUCCCUGCAGGCAUUAUCGGGUCUGCCUGA
rnacentral:rRNA from 1 species